AUUAUAUCAAUAGAUGCAGAAAGACAUUUGACAAAAUCCAACAACCAUUGAUGAUACAAACUCUCACAACCAUGGGCUUAGAAGGAAC